GGGGGAUAAGCAUUGAUGGUGAUGUCCGGUCUCCAAUGUGUUCUGCGGAGAGAAUACAAUGGAAAACCGAUGAAACGGGUUCAAGUCCCGUAUCCUCCA
rnacentral:tRNA from 1 species